rnacentral:rRNA from 1 species
AGUGAACGCUGGCGGUAGGCCUAACACAUGCAAGUCGAACGGCAGCACAGUAAGAGCUUGCUCUUACGGGUGGCGAGUGGCGGACGGGUGAGGAAUACAUCGGAAUCUACUUUUUCGUGGGUGAUAACGUAGGGAAACUUACGCUAAUACCGCAUACGACCUACGGGUGAAAGCAGGGGAUCUUCGGACCUUGCGCGAUUGAAUGAGCCGAUGUCGGAUUAGCUAGUUGGCGGGGUAAAGGCCCACCAAGGCGACAAUCCGUAGCUGGUCUGAGAGGAUGAUCAGCCACACUGGAACUGAGACACGGUCCAGACUCCUACGGGAGGCAGCAGUGGGGAAUAUUGGACAAUGGGCGCAAGCCUGAUCCAGCCAUACCGCGUGGGUGAAGAAGGCCUUCGGGUUGUAAAGCCCUUUUGUUGGGAAAGAAAAGCAGCAGGUGAAUACCCCGCUGUUCUGACGGUACCCAAAGAAUAAGCACCGGCUAACUUCGUG